rnacentral:rRNA from 1 species
UACGUAGGUGGCAAGCGUUGUUCGGAAUUAUUGGGCGUAAAGGGCGCGUAGGCGGCAUGUUAAGUCGGCUGUGAAAGCCCGGGGCUCAACCCCGGAGGGUCGGCCGAUACUGGCAAGCUAGAGUACAGAAGAGGUAGCUGGAAUUCCCGGUGUAGCGGUGAAAUGCGCAGAUAUCAGGAAGAACACCCGUGGCGAAGGCGGCUCUCUGGGACGGUACUGACGCUGAGACGCGAAAGCGUGGGGAGCGAACAGG